rnacentral:lncRNA from 1 species
GAGCAAGUCUAUUAUGCCAUGUGUGUGUGUGAUCAAUCUUGGUAGAGGAGAUAAAGGGGUUCACACCUCUAAUCACUUCCCCAGUAGUAAUAUAUAUAUCAUUUUUCUUAAUUCCCUUAAUGGAAACUAAAGCACCCUUGAUCAUUUUUAGCAUACCAUUUCCAAUUUUACCAGUAAAGUCAUCCUUCUCAAGUCUCCCUACUGAAAUCAGAUUCCUA